UUUUUUUCUCUCAAUUUCCUCUCUUCCCCUUGUGCGAUUAUUUUUUCUCUCAAUUUCCUCUCUUACCCUUGUGCUCCAUUUUGCAUAAUCUACCGAUUUGGAGUUAUAACCCAUGUAUUUCAUCUUUUUCUUCCUUUUGUAUUCCAUUUUUGUCUGUAUGGCAACUUCGUCUUUGCUCUAUCCUCAUGUCAAUGUCGCUGAUCUGGGCCAAAUGAAAAAGCUCGUAAUCGAGAAUUUGUUUCACUCAUGGCACCAACUUGGGGAGCUAAGGCCCAGUUUCAACUUUGUCUGAAUUGAUAGAAAAUGUCAGAGGAACAUACUUUCUUGAGUAAGUAAGUUCGUAACCGUGAUUAUCUUUUUCUGAUUGUCAAUUUUUUUUAUCUCAGAAAGUUUGCAAAUGGUUGGCAUAGUUGUUACUAGCUGAGCUGUAGUUUAUCUGCACUCCAAUAGGGUGCUACAAAAAGAUCUUAAGGGGACUUUAGACUUGCAAAACUACUCAAUACAGAAGACCUUGCUUCAUCAUCAUUGGUAAGGAUAAUAUAGAAGACCUUGCUUCAUCAUCAUCAGUAAG